rnacentral:tRNA from 1 species
GAGGGUGUAGCUCAGGUGGUUAGAGCGCCAGAUUGUGGUUCUGGAAGUCGAGGGUUCGAGUCCCUCCACUCUCCCCA